GGGGUGGGGAUCUGGACUGUUUACAGGAUAAUAGGACAUUCUCAAAUUGAACAGGGUGGGGGUGACCCCAAGGAACUUCCAUCUACUUACAUGUGAUUUGUUUCAUUGUCCCAUACAAGAAUAUAUAUGGUUUAGGGUGGGGAUCUGGACCGUUUACAAGUUUUCAAACAAGAGGGGGUGGGGUGACCCCCUAGGGACUUCUCUUUUAUUUCAUUUGAUUUGUUUUAUUGUCCCCUACAAGAAUAUAUAUGGUUUAGGGGUGGGGAUCUGGACCGUUUACAAGUUUUCCAACAAGGGGGGGGUG
rnacentral:lncRNA from 1 species